rnacentral:lncRNA from 1 species
UCUUACUAUGUCAUUGCCACUGAAGUUUGAAGUAUUUUCUUUUAGUGUUUGUUUGCAACAGAGACAUUUAGUAUUGGAUUGAACAUGCCGGCAAAGACGGUUGUGUUUACCAAUGUACGUAAGUUUGAUGGAGACAAGUUCCGGUGGCUAUCAAGUGGAGAGUACAUACAGAUGAGUGGUCGUGCUGGACGUCGAGGUAUUGACAAACGAGGUAUCUGCAUCCUCAUGGUUGACGAGAAAAUGGAACCCGCUGUUGCUAAAUCAAUGCUCAAAGGAAGUGCUGAUUCUUUGAACAGGUACAUGGUUAAGUAUUUCAAAUAUGUAUUUUAUUAUCAGGGUAGAAAAUUAUCACCCUGAUUGAUAGUCUGCUUUAAGAGGGUUAGACAUCUUGACAUAUUCACUCACCAAGACUGUUUUGUUUCCUUUAUUCACCAGUGCCUUCCAUUUAAGCUAUAACAUGCUUCUAAAUCAGUUGCGGUGUGAAGAAGGUGAUCCUGAGAAUCUUCUGCGCAAUUCGUUCUUUCAGUUUCAAGCUGACCGUGCUAUACCUGAUCUCGAGGUGCAGUUGCAAAAUGCUAAAUGUUAGAUUUCCUGAUGAUAGUGUUCACUUUUUGUGUAUGAUCUGAUUGUGGCCUGGUCUUCGCAGAAGCAAAUAAAAUCCCUGGAAGAAGAGAGAGACUCUAUGGUGAUUGAAGAAGAAGAAAGCUUAAAAAAUUACUAUAACCUGAUUUUGCAAUAUAAGAGUCUGAAGAAGGAUAUACGUGAAAUUGUGUUCAUUCCAAAGUACUGCUUACCCUUUUUGCUGCCAAACAGAGCUGUUUGUCUCGAUUGCACAAAUGAUGAUGAAGAGACACAAUCAUUUAGCAUUGAAGACCAGGAUACAUGGGGAGUGAUAAUGAAAUUUAACAAAGUCAAAAGCUUAUCUGAAGGUUGGAACUCUUGAGAAUUAAAUUUUGGUAUAAUGGUAUUAAUCUGCUCACACAAUAUAAUGAUUUCGUCUUGACAUGAGUAAUUAAUUCAGAUGAUGAUAAUAGAAGACCGGAGGAUGCAAACUACUCUGUAGAUGUAUUGACUAGAUGUAUGGUUAGCAAAGAUGGUGUUGGCAAAAAGAAAGUUAAGGCUGUGCCAAUUAAGGAACGUGGUGAGCCUGUUGUGGUCACUGUUCUUUUGUCUCAGGUAUCAUGGCUGCUCCGUUUAAUUUUCUUUUCUUGUCUUGUAGUCCUUUAUAAUGUCUUAUACAUUCUUGUGCGGCUCAUCCUCCUUGAUUCUGCUAUUGAUGAUCUUAUUGUUUUUCUUUAUCAUCAUGGACAGAUUAAGAGUUUAAGCAGUGCAAUCAUGAAUAUACCAAAAGAUCUUGUACCACUGGAAGCUCGAGAGAAUGCUCUGAAGAAGGUUUCUGAGUUACUCGCUAGACAUCCUGAUGGAAUACCCCUAGAUCCUGAAGUUGAUAUGAAGGUAUUUUGUUUUCUCCCCAGUACCUUUCUGCUUCUGCUAUCUUUCAUUUCUCACAAGAGAUGAAUACAACUUUUACUUCAUUAGAUUAAGAGCAGCUCUUACAAAAAGACAGUUCGUCGGUUGGAGGCUCUGGAAAAUCUAUUUGAAAAACACAAAAUUGCGAAAUCUCCCCUCAUAACAGAAAAGCUGAAAGUUCUACACAUGAAGGAAGAGCUAACAGCCAAGAUCAAGUCACUUAAAAAAACUGUCCGAUCAUCAACAGCAUUGGCGUUUAAAGAUGAACUCAAAGCCAGAAAGCGUGUUUUACGAAGACUAGGGUAAAUAUUUGCUAAAUUCAUUUCAUUCACUUUCAAAAUAUACUUAUGAAACCAACUCAAUCUUAUACGUCAGCUACAUCAUUCUCUUCUGCUCUUUUUAAAGUUACAGGACUGUAAUGUUCCAUUGAUGACUCUAUUAGCUUAAUUUUUUUUAUUAUUCUAUUGAAACGCAGAUACAUCACUAGUGAUAAUGUCGUGGAGUUGAAGGGUAAGGUUGCAUGUGAAAUCAGUAGUGCAGAAGAAUUGACAUUAACGGAGUUAAUGUUCAGUGGUAUCUUCAAGGAUGCAAAGGUGGAGGAGUUGGUUUCGCUCCUCUCUUGCUUUGUGUGGCGAGAGAGAGUCCCUGAUGCCGCUAAACCUAGAGAAGAACUCGACUUGCUAUUCAUACAGUUACAGGACACAGCCAGGCGUGUUGCUGAACUUCAGCUUGACUGCAAGGUAUUCACUAACACAUUCUCUCCUUGCUCAUCCAAGAAAACUUGACCAUUUGAAUGAGCUUUGGUCCAUAACUUUGUCUGGUAUGGCAAUGUGUUAGGUCGAAAUCGAUGUGGAGAGUUUUGUUCAAUCGUUCAGACCAGAUAUAAUGGAGGCGGUGCAUGCUUGGGCAAAAGGGUCGAAAUUCUAUGAGGUCAUGGAGAUUGCUCGUGUUUUCGAAGGGAGCUUGAUCAGAGCGAUAAGGAGAAUGGAGGAAGUUCUGCAACAGCUCAUAGUAGCUGCAAAAUCUAUAGGAGAAACACAGCUUGAAGCUAAACUAGAAGAAGCUGUUUCCAAGAUCAAAAGAGACAUUGUAUUUGCAGCGUCUCUCUACUUGUGAUGUCGUGUGCUUAUCUCAUCUUGGCAACAAGAUUGAAACAAAAGCAACGAAUUUUGUUUGUACCAUCAUUUAUUCUUAAGGUCUCACAAUGUGAACAAAGAACUAUAAAGCAAGAGGAGAUUUAGUUUCAUAAUUUUAUUUUUGACUAUGACCAGUUAACGUAGAACAAGACGUGAAUCUUAAUUUCCACAUUUUCCCGUACAAAAGCUACACAACUCCUCAAAACACAUUGCAUCUAAGUGAAUUCAUGGGACCUGAAGACAUAAAACUUCAUUGCUAUACACAGACAUCUCAAUUUUCACAUUGUCUAACGAUCUCUUGCUUCUGCUUUCAUCUUUCCUACGUGGCAAGUACAUUUAAAGCAUAACAGUGAUAUACUCAUCUUGAUCCAGCCAUAGAUGAUGACCUGCCCUCUGUAUUCCCAUUUUCCUCUGCAUCAGUUUUGGGCUGCAUCCUUGCAUUGACUGCGAGUUUGUUCUUCGGUGAAAGUUUCUUCACUUCCUCAGGUGUGUAGAUGAAUAUCUUUCUCACCAUUCCACAGAACUCACUGCAUCACAAAACAGAAGACCAUAAUGUCAACAGUAAAGAAAAAGGAUUACAUUAAAGUAGAUGAUGCUCUGCAAUUGUAAACAAUGCUGUGUUUCUUGUGAGUAUUAGACCGCAAAUGCACUUACUUCCAUGGAUCAUCACCAACCAUCAUCAUGUCAUCUUCAUCAUCGGUGUAAACAACUUGCCAUUUUUUGGUAGAUUUUAAGAGUUCACCCUUGAUUUCGAACAUCUCCUCCAGCUUCUUGAAUAGAUCUUCAUAACACUCUGACCUUGUCAAAUCAACAGCUCUGCCAACUGCACUGCCUUGCAUGUGCACCUAAAUCAAAUCGCCAAAAACAUUGUGUUUUAGUCAAAAGCAAGACGCAGUCACGGUCUGACAAUUUAAGACCAAUAUUGGAGUUGUGACCCAAAAACAAAAAAAAAAAAUUGAUUUUGAAAGAUUGAGCGAUACAAGAGGCUAAUAAUCACCUUUGUGCAGCUACGUAUCUGUCUACUUUGUGAUUCUUGAGGAGACCUCAAAGAGGAAUUCUCAGGGUCAUCACUCCCCGAAGGAAUAUCAGAUUGGUUGAUGUUUAACGGCUCAGACUGCUGACCAGAGUCAAACUCAUUGGAUGGGACAGGUUGAUCUACAGCGACAGCACCGGACACAGAGGCAGCAGAGAAACAUUCAUCCACAUUAACAUUUUCAACUAGCUCAAACCCAAAAAGCCUACAGACAUUUCCAUUAGUUUGCUUCUUUUCAGUAGAUUCAUUGUUAAACGCUGAAGCAAAGGAUUCAGCUGCACUAUCUGCAUGGCUGGGCCAAAAGGCUGAUCCAAUAGAUACUCCAAAUGAUUUGUUCCCACCAUGACCAAACGUAGCAGCUUUGGCAGGAGGAGAGAAUAAUGGCACUGAGGAAGGAGUGUCUGCCGGGGAUUUCCACACACCAUCUGGAGUAACUGAAGAGAGCAUCAAUAAAAAGAGCCAGAGCUGCCACAAAGAAGAACAGUUCAGAAGAGAAGAGAAAACAGAAUACCAGGAGCAGAUGGACCGGUGGUUGGUGAAGGUAAACCAGGAGGUCUCGGUCGUUUGUUCCUUUGUGGAGGCUGAGGUUGUGAAGAAGGAGUACUAUUUGCAACUAGGGGCUCAAGUUCCCAAGGUGAAACUCUUUCAGGACGAAAUACAGAUGAGGGUUCGUCCCAUUGAACCUGAAGCAUGAUCAGAUUGCAAAGAAGCAUAUUAAGAUGCAUCACUCUAUUCAUUCAACUAAAGAAAUACAAACCCACAACUUGCUCCACUGCAAAGUAUAACAGUAGAAUAUUCUAACCUUUAGCGAUCUCCAUUCAGAAUCAUGCCAGACCGAAGACUUGUUUUCCUGAACACCAACUAUUGUCCCACUGAACCUGCAUUGUUAAAAUAAGAAAAAAAAAAUAUAUAUACAUAAAAAGCCAGAAGUUAUAUUGCAUUCAGCUUUAUCAGCGAAAAGAAAACAAGAUAGUUAGAUGUGAUACCUUUUCUCGGGAGCUUCUUCACCCUCGAAUCUCAUCUUGAAACGCAUGCCUACAGACAGCUUCUGGGUCUUAGCUUCGAGAUAUCUAUUGACGCUCACAAUAAACUCUGACCUACUUGUCCUGAUAAUAGAAGAUACGUCAGCCUGAAUUUGCAGCAAAAUGAUUAUCAUCAAGCAUAUGCAAGCAACAGUAACUCAAAGGCAUAAGAUGCAUAUUUGGAGAAAAAAAUGGCUGGCGUGUCUGUCCCAGACCGGACAGAUACAUCUAACAUAGCAAAAGUUUAAGUUUUCUAAAUUAGGCUGACAGUCAGAUGCAUCAACUGAUGUGUUUUCGACCAUUUGAUGGCAUUAAACUGUUUUUUAGGAUUUUGUUCCCAGUCAAUGUCUCAAUUAAAGUAAAGUAAGAAAAAGACCUGGGCUUGUAGAAGACAGAAAAGAUUGUCCCUGUUGUAAUGGCAUGAGCUGCAGUCGCAAGGACCCCAAUAUGCAUGCUAUGACUUGAAAUGACAGAUGACGGGAUAUUAGUCUGUUGUCUCAUGUGCCGCCUAACACCAACUCGGAGCUCUUCAUUCUCACCCCUGAAAGACAAUACUAUGUCACAUGUCCAGCCGUUUAUGGCAGAAACAAUAUCCAUACAAAUGAAAUGAGGAACUUGCCUUAAGAAUAUGAAAGCAUCACCAGCCACUAGUUUCUUCGAGCUAACAAAUACACUCCAUCCAGUUGUUAGCAAAUGGCGCCUUGGUUGGCCUGUAGUCAGUCACAACCUUAUGAUUAAAACAAACGUGAAACAAUAAUAUUAAUGCAAAAUUAUGUAAAGCUUUAAAGAUUUCCAGUAGCAGUAGCAUUAGGGUAAAGGAACCACAGUAGACCAUCUCAUAAUAAGAUACCAAGUGUAAAAACCUCGGAAAAUGUGCCUAAAAUGCCAUUCAUUAUUGUGGAGAUCAGUUGCAACCAAUUCUUGCCACGGUGGUUGUUGGGACAUAUCCUAGAAAAGAGAAAGCAAACUGUUACAAAAAAAAAAAAGAAGUUGGAGGUGUGUCCAAAAAGCAACAAGAACACCGGAAGCAAGUCUGACCAAGGGUGGGAGACAAUCAUCUGCGUGUCGCCGUAGCACAGAGAAUCCACCAUGUGUGCUUGUGUCUGAAGCAGUUAGUGUCUUGCAAAAUGAAUGUACAGUGCACUUUUCAGGUUCUUGAACAGGUGCAUCUGGGCUGGUUGGUUCGUUUUGCUGAUAACCAAACAUAAUAGUUUCACCAAAAUCAAUAACAGGAAAAAAAAAUACAAAACCGUAUUUUAUAGAACACCAAACCAUCAAAUUUACUUACAUCCAGUUCUGGCAAUAAGGUUAUUUGCGCGUAUACUUCAUCAGUCUCGGGCUCUGCCUGAGGUUGCAAAGUGAAGCACAACAAGGUAUGAAAUUAUUUAGCCAACCCAUUUCAUGAAGAAAAAUUAUCAUAUAUCAUGGAAUUCAGCCUACCCUGCGCUGGAUGUUGAUCACUUUACAGAGAAUCUUAGAUGGAAGAUUGAAGGAAGGCAUCUGUUGCUCCAAACCUUGGUGCAUUGAUGCCUCGAGCUGCAUAGGAAGUGACCAAUUAAAUGCAUAAAUGUGAUAACCAGAUAAGAUGCACAAAACAAUUAAUCAUGUGAAAUCAAAACAGGUCGUACAUUUAUCUGUUCUAUACAACAAUACAUGUUUUGGUGACUUUAUUUUAAGCUAGAAAGCAUAAACAAGGUUAUCUGAAGUGACAUAGAGUAAGAACACUCCAAUUAACAUAACCGGCUUUAGCAAAUGAGGGUACUACGGUUUAUCACAAUGUUAAGUGAUUCAACCCAAUAAGAAUACCUGCUCCAUGUGGCCUUCAGGGAAAUAAUAAACUCGUUCCCCUUCACGAGGUAGCGUUACAAGAGGUCCAGCACAGGCAUGCCAGAGCUCCGUACAUAAAGCAUCACUUAAAACUCCUACAAAGAUACAAAUAACGGUUAUGGGAUGCAUUAUGCAACAUAGUUUCUCAAAAACAAAGCAAGGGUUGCAAUAAAUAUUCCACGAACCUCCCGGUUUUACAGAUGAAUGAGUGGUAGCUGCCAUUUGGAAUCCUUAAUCUCGAUAAAUUUACCUGGGCAACAAAAACAAAAGAAGAGAAAACUAUAAGAUUGAAAUGUUAUUCUGAAAGAGAAAAGCAGAAGAUGGACAUAUCCUUCCUCUAAUUUAGACAAACAAAACUCUGAUAGAUGUCAUUAUGUAGAAACAUUUAAAACCCUUUCAUAAAUUUACUGACAAAAUGUGGGCCAUUUAUGUAACUGCUUUGUUCUACAUUGUGUCUAAAGCACAUCACAAGACUAAGAUUCUCAAAAUUUUAUUACCCAAUUUGAAGAGAAAAUCCAAUAGUCACUCAAACAAAGAUGUAAAAAGAAAGAACAAAUAAAGCAAAAGCAAGACAAGAACCUGCUCAAUAACAUACCAAAAAUGAACAGAUUUCAGUCCUUAUAACUUCACACUAUGCAACACAAAAACUGUUACUAAAACCAAGAUUUCAAACUCAGAACCUAAGAUUAUGUAAUAGAAUCAAAUCUAUGAGAAGAAUACAGCUACAGACAAAAUUUCAGUACCACCGAAGACAAAACCCAUUUAGAAAGCUUAAAGAAACGAUUUUUAGAUCAGGAACCAAAAAAAGAGUUGAAAUUUGGAUAUGAAACAAAGUAACAAUUCUUGAUCUACAUUAACCCCAAAAUCAAAAUCCCGGUAAAAUCGACAAACCCAGCUCAAAUCUGACUACAGAUCCUCUAAAGUCUCCUCCUUUUCCAACAUUUACUAAGCAGAACCAAGCAAACCCAGAAAUAAAAAUCCAACCUUUAACUUAAAACCACUGGAUCCAAAGCGAGCUAGGGUUCAAACAAAACCCAGAAAGGGGAUAGAGAGAAACUGAGAAUUGCUGUCAAAAAUAAUGUAAGAAGAGGAAAAAAGAAAACAGUAGAAGAUUGAUUUGGGAAGAUGUGAGAGAUAAAGGUGUGUAUGUAAAGGUGUAUACACACACCGUCAGUGUUUGGUUGAAGCCGACACGAACCCUUUGGCUAUGGCUUGCCUCUUUUUCUCUUCUUCUCUUUUUUUUAUUUUUUCUUUUAUUUUCUUUGUUUCCUCUCUUUGGGUUUUCGUUUCUAACCACAAGCAAUGACUUUGCUCUCUUUAGUCUCUUUACUUUGAAAAAAACAGCAUUUCUUUGAGGAAACUUCACUGAAACUAGCCAUGAUUAACGGAUUUUUUUGGGGUUUUAGCUGUUAAUUUAGUGAAAAAACCUCUGACUCUUAGGAAGUGUAAUUAUUUAAAGAUUAGUAAACUAUUACAUAAAUUGUAUGUUUUAGACUUUGCAUACAUUUUAAGAAUUUCUUGUACUACUACAAAUAUAUUCGUGAUUAAUAUUCAUUAGUUGUUUCAUUAAAUUAACACUAGUUAAUAGGAAAUAAAAUAAAGGUUCUACAGUAAUCUUUGUGAAACAAUUUUUUUUUCUUUUUAAAAAUUAUAGUACAGCUCAAAUAAAAAGCUAUUUUUUUUUCUAUAUUUCCCAUUAUGUGAAUUGAAACGUGCCUCAUGAAUCAUGAUUUUUGUAUUUCAAAUUAGAUUAUAUAUUUAACAAAAUUCAUAUGAGUGACAAAAUCAACAUUGUCAUAUGCUAUAGUAGUAAAUUAGAAAGGUAGAAUACUCUUAAUACAUAAAUUUUUCUCAAGAAUUGAAGUGAAAAUACAUAUUCUUUUUAUUUGUAAAAAUUUAUAAAAUUGAAUUUGUGCAUUAUGAAUCACAUUUUUACUAUUUUAGUUUACUUAAUACUCAUCAUCAACAUCACAUUAUAAAAACAUAACUUUAUCAAUUAUAUUGGUCAUAAAACAUCGGUCUAACAAUAGCUUAAAAUGCUAAUAAAUUUUUUUACUAUUCAAUUUUUGAACAGAAAAGUCUUAACUAAUAUUUAGAAUAAGUAUCUAAUUUUCUUCACAAUUUUUUUUCUUUUCACCUAUAUUUUAGAUUUACAAAAAUAUUAUAUCGCUCGAAUUUGAAAAUGUUUGCACAUUAAAAAAUAUGCAAAUACGGAAACAGAUUUGAAUACAACAUGUGACAAUCAUGCUAGCCCUCACAACAACAAAAAAAAACUGAAAUACAUCUAGGCAAAGUUAUCAAGCAUUAAACUGAUAACGAAGUUGAUGUAGCUAGAAUCCAAAAUCCUUGAGCUAAGAAAGCGGCACAAAGCGAUACCACUCAAUUCUUCCAAAUAUUUUCUUUUGAUUUUCGUCAUGCUAAGGAACAUUGAACUGGGUAUUUCCAUGCAUUAUUUUGAUAUGUUGAAAUGUCAUGGCUUUCUUUAUCUUUGGUAGUUUCAACUCAAUAAAUGUAUAAAAUGUUUGGUGGUUUAAGGUAAACUACUAAUCUAAUCGAAUCGAGAUGGAGAUCGAUCAGUCAAAGUACCUGAGUGAGCUUUAAAUUGGGCAUAAUGAUUUGCUGCUAGCCUAGUUAGAAGAAAUGACAAAUAAAAUACUUCAUCGAAGAUGAAAUAAUAUGUUAUUCUAGAAUUUUUAAUAGAUGAGAACACUUUGAAGUAUGAUAUCUCAAUUUUUUCCACGCAUGUUUAUUUUUGGAAUUCUUAAGUUUCUUCUCUCUUCUUAAAGAGAUAUGAAACUGGCUUUGAGAUUUGAGAUUUUGUUUUCUUUUUGGCAGAAACAUCAGUCAUCACUUCUUGGCUAAUUAUUUUCCUAAGUGGAUUUUCACCCUUAAUAUGAUCCUCUUUCUUAAAAAAGAUAGUCCUUUUGCUAAGAGGAAAGGGGCAAGUUUGGGUAGGUUCCUAAGAUCUAUAUUAUCUUUAAUGAUUCAAAUUCUGAUCACUAUGUAUGUAUAAGAGGACUCAUCAUCCUUUGACGUGAAUCUUCUCGAUUUUAUAACUACCACCGCUUCUUUCAUAUUCAAGGCAUAACAACCAAUGUUUUUUUGCAACUUCAUGAGUAUUGGGGUUUAGCGGUCUAUUAUUGAUAAUCAUGGAAUUCACUUCAAUUAGAUCUUCAGAUUCCAACUCUUGAACAUCGACUAGAUUUUCUUUAAUCUGGAAUUAUAAGUUUUGAAUCUGUUUUUGUAAAUUCUCCUCUAUUUUUUAAAAUCAAGGAAUUGUUGGUGCAAAGAUAAAUUUUCACUUGAAAAAAAUAAAGAAUCAAAGCUAAAAUAGCAUAAUUGAUAUGAGCACAAGGAAAAAGAUAUCGUAUAGCAAACUUAAAAUCAUCGCCAUGGAAAGGCAUAGAAGAAAAGAAAAAACAAUAAAGAGAAAGAGAAAAUGAGAUGAAAAAGACAAUGAAGAUGAAGAUAUAAAAGAAGAAAUUCUUUGGAAUGGAACGUUUUUCACUAUUAAUUAAAAUACUGGUACCCGACAUAAAAUUAUCUUUCUCAAAAAUUUUAUUUUCUUUUAUGUGAAAUUGAUUGAUUUUUUUUAUCAAAAUAUUUUCAUAUUUAUUGACAUUUUUAGGAUCUUAGGUGGGUACAAACACAAUGAGCUUAGCCCUUACAAAAUGAUAAUAUAAAUUAAGGACAUAAAUUAAAAUUAUAUAUAAAUAUAUAUAUAUAUAUAUAUAUAUAUACACACUAAAACCUCUAUAAAUUAAUAAUGUUGGGAGUAGCAAAUUUUAUUAAUUUAGAGAGGUAUUAAUUUAUCAAUAAAUUAAUAAUUAUUAAUUUAUAGAGAGAUUUUACUAUUUUUGUAAUUUCUUAAAAACAUUUCUAUCUAAAAAUAAGGUUUUCUUAUAAGUAAUAUCUUUUAAAAACUAAUUACAAAUAGAUAAGUAAUUAUUAAGUUUAAAAAAACAACACAAACUUUUUUCGAAUAAUAGAGUCAUAUUUUAUUAAAUUUUUUACAUAGAAUAUUUUAAAUAUAUAUCAUAGUAAUUCAAAUAUGACAUAUAUAAAUUUAUAUCAUAUAUAUAUAUAUAUAUAUUGAUAAGUUUAUACAAUUAUUAAUUUAUGAUAUCGAUGGGACCAUAUGUUUAUAUGAGAUUUUCAAAAAAAUUAUUAUCUUAUUAAUUUAUCGAUUUAUGUCAUAUUUUACACUGGUCCCAACUCGGGACCGGAAGAAUUAAUUAAUUUAGAGAGGUUAUUAAUUUAUAGAGUAUUAAUUUAUAGAGGUUUUACUGUAUAAUUGAAGUUUACUAUGUCCCUAGUGACCACUUUUCUUAUCUUUAUAUAUAUAUAUAUAUAUAUAUAUAUAUAUAUAUAUAUAUAUAUAAAACACAAUUGAAGUUUACUCUGUUCCUAGUUAGAUUUACAAUUGAACGAUCGUAAACUUAUACAAAUGGUCCCAUUACAAAUAAUGCAAAAACAGAGAAGCAUAAAUCAGUGAAACAUUUUCAGUCCAUUCACUCAACAAAAGCGGAAUUGCUAAUGGAAUUAGACAAAGCGAUUACGAUUUUGUUGUUCAUCCCAGUUCCGAUGCUUGAGACGAAGGACGAAUGAAAAUUGUGAUGUUAGCUAUAUUUGUUUAAAAAUAAUAAUAGUGUCCAAAUUAUAUUUAAUAAUAUCAAACUUAAACAAAUUCUAUUUUUGGUGGUUUCAAAUAUUCUUGGCUUGCACUAAUUUUAGACUUUCAGUUAAAGUUUCUUAACUCAGAGUGAAAAUCUUCAAAAUAAUAUUUUGUAUGAAAUGAAAGAAAAAAUAAUAUAUAGGUCAACAUAUAUAUAAUUCUUAACAUAUGAUUGAAUUAUUGUUAUUCGUCGGUACAUCACUCUUAACAAAAUAAUUAAUUAUUUUUAAAUUUUACUUAGCACUACAGAAAUCUUAAUAACGGAUUAACAAAACUUUAUAUUUUAAAAUGAACAUUGUUUAUUUAAAUUUGAAAAUGACUUACAUUGUGUGUAAAUGCUUAUUUAUGUCAUGCGAUGUUAGUGUCGAUUUUAGCAUCAAUAAUUUUUUUUGUUUAUAAAACACAAAAGAUCACCACACCAGUUUUAUUUUUCAUCAACGCCACUAGCAAUCUUCGAAUUUGGGCAAAAUACAGUAUAGAAAGUUUAAGAAAUGAAAAAUAAAAUAAAUAAUCAAUCUUGAACUAUACUCAUAUUCUCUUGAAGUAAAACACCACAUCACAACUAAUUUUUUCAUCUUUUAAUGUGAUCUUUCAAAUUGCAGAAUCUACUCAAACUGGCGGUGGCGAUAGUAGAAUUCAGUAAAUAGAUUUUUAUUUGUUACUCAUUAAAUUUGAAAAAAAUGUAACUUUAGUCAAAUUACACUACAAUAAUACCACAUUAAUUCUGUUGAUAUAAUGCAAUUACCCAAAGUUAUAUUUAUAAAAUAAAUAAAAAAAGCAAAAAUGGCAUGUGUUGUUUAAAUGUAAAAUAAUGCAAACCCACUAGAGUUUCUUACAGCUUCACUGCUUGUCCCCCUUGGGUGGGCACUCAAUUGAGAUUCACGCGCUACAAAAGAUUCAUACCACUUGGAUUAAUAAAAUGAUUUUUAAUUAACUAGUAACAAAAGUAGAGAUUUAGGCUACCAGUAAUAAUUAAUGUAUGCUUAAUAAUUGAGCUGUUUUGUCUUUGACAGUACCAUCACGAGCUUUACGUGUUUUCUUCUCGGUAAGCAUGGACAUGUCUCCUUUGUCUCCAACCAAUCUUUUUAUUCUGAUUUUUUUUUUUUUGUAAGCAAAAACUAAUUUUUUUAGUUUUGAAAAUUUAAUUCAAACAUAUAAAACUUUCAUUAAACUAGCAAGUUACAUAAAGUAAAAAAACAUAUCUACCAAUAACAUAAAUGCUACAUCUAGUUCCAACGGUAAGAUUGCGAAGAAACAUGUUGCUAAAUCGCAAAACAUAUAUAUCAAUAACAUAAAUACUACAUCUAGUUCCAACGGUACGAUUGCGAAGAGACAUGCUGUUAAAGCUGCGAUCUUGGGGGUGGUUGAUCCUUAUUACUUUAUAUAGGCAUGUUGUCAAAGCCCCGAUUUUGGGUGUGAUUGAGUAUAUAUAUUUGAAUGUUAUGUUCUUCUUAAGUUUGUUCUUGAUUUGAACUAUGCCGAUCCUGAGGUAAACUAGUCUGUUUUUGCAACUACACAUUGUCAUCUUGUAUUUAAUAAUAUGGCAAUGACUAGUUUCACACAAAAGAAAAAAAGAAAGAAGAUGAUGGCAAUGAAUUGGCAUAAAAUCUUAUUACACUUCAUUUAACUAUUAUGAAAACAUGAUUUUUGGUAUUAUAUUAUUUUCUUAAUGUGGAUGGCUAAAUUAUCAAAUUGAGGUUUGUGGCAUGUUCUAUUCAUGUAUCAUGUUAUUUAUUUAUGCUGACAUAUUAUUUAAAUAUAUAUAUAUAUAUUAUCAGUUUAUCAUAAUAUAAAGUGUAUGACCUAUUAUCUUAUAGUUUAUAUUAUAAAAUAUUUGUGUAUGUGAAUAUCAAAUUUUUGUAUUUUUUAUAAGUACAUUCAAUAAUUUGUGUUCCUAUUAUGUACAUACUGUUUUCAACCACUUGUUCAAGAGAAGAAAAAAAGAAGAUAAAGCAAUUUUUUUUAUGCUUAUGCGAUGUGAUGAUUUGUGUUGUGAAACUAUAAUGUCUGGAGUUGAACACAAAAGUCAUGAAGUAAAGAAAACAUGAGAACAUUUCUAGUUUCUACACAAGUUGCGUUAUAGUCCAAACAUUAUUAAUCUGGUUCGGCCCCGGUCCGGUUUUGUUUUUAAAACGUUGGGCUCUAAUUGGAAUUGGAUAUUUGCCGAGCCAUCGUUCACAUUGUUUUCAAGCUUUUCAAAACAAUAACUAUACAUACAUUAGUAUUUAUUAAGCCCAAUCCUGAGGCCCAAUACAGAUCUAUUUAAAACUCUUUAACAGCCUACCAUAUUUUUCACUCAAAAUUUCAAAGGCAUGUGAUGCUGCUAGGCAGAUAAUAUUACGAUUUGGUGUAACGUCGGUUAUAACAUUAAUCAAAGUGACUAAAAACAGAUAAUAUAUAAAAAGUAGUACACAAAACAUAUAGUGGAAAAUUUACAUACAAAGUCAACAUUAACACACUAGACGUAAAUACAUAACAAUCGGGAUUCAUAUGAUCCUCAAUUGAUCACAAAAUUAUGAAAGCACAAGUUACGAAAAUAAUAUUAGUAAUAGAUUGAAAGAAUCAUAAUAAUACAAUACAUUUUCUAUAAUCAAACCAUAUAUUAAAAUCUAUAGACUAUUGCAUGCAUGUUGCUAAAUUAACAGCAAAAAUAACUAACAAGAUUAAGUGUACUAAAAUAAGUUGUGGGUUCAAUUCGACCAGUAAUUUAUAUAUGAGGUAUUUUAUGACCACAAAUAAUUAGAUGAGAUUUUUUUAUUCCAAUCCAAAAAUAUUAGGUAUUAAACUUCCAAAUUAAAAUUAAUUUGGUUUUUAAAGCAUUUUUCUCUAUAUUUCAAACGAUUGACACACUAAUCUGAUAUUACAUGGUAGCUCGUCUUGAUUUCUUACAUCGAUGAUUUGUUUUGUUUGUUAACAACAUGCAAUAUACGGAUUUAAAUUAGACGAACGAUUUCUAACAUCAAUUUGUGUUUAUAUAUAUGGCCAUAUGGCGAUAUAUAUAUAUCAAGUCGAUUUGAAAUUAUUAAAAGAUCUUCUUUCUUGCAUUUCAUUGUACGUUUUGUUUGAAAGUGCCAAAAAAGUAAUCCAUCAAGUAAAAGUAAUUAAUCAUAACUUCAGAAGAUCCGCAAGUCAUUAUAUAUUUUUACUGACAUAAUUUCAGAUGAGGUAUCCACUAUUAAGAAUAUGGUUUAACAGUAAAUAUAUCUGUAGAUACAAAUAAUAAAAAUCGCAUUUCAGAAACUCAAGAGCGGCAGGAAAAUAAUACAAAAGCAUCACAAAUUAUGAAACCCACUCCAUGUAAUAACUCUAGAGUUGAAGUAACUGUGUUAAGUGGGAGAAUGUACUAAUGCCAUAAAAAUGGGAGACAAAUUGAUGCAAUAUUUUAACCAUUAAUGAGUAAAGUAAAGUUGAAUAUAAAGAAACUAUUAAUACAUAGUGGAUAAAGGAAGGACGAGCCAAUCUUUAACACCCAACAUGUUCCAGACAUGUUUCUUACCAUUAGAUUGUGUCCAAAUUGAGAACAUCAUUGAGCAAAAUAACAAAUCCAUCACUUUUCAUCGUGUUCCUCUUUUCUAAUUUACAUAGAUAACUUUUGUGGGAAAGAAAAUGUUGGUGUUGUGUUUCCUGUUUGUGUACUGUGACAAUGAUUCCGUAAAUUUCAGUAUAGAACAUUCGAGUUAUUUUAUCUGGUUAAUUUGAUACUAAUUAGUUUGAUUAGUUGAUUAGUAUCAGAUUUAAUUAUCAUUAUUUCAAUACUUCGGUUAGUUAGAAGAUACUUCGAUUUUACACUUGUAUGCAAAGCUUAGAUGUGAAAAAACAAAAACAGAUUUUCCAUAAAAAAAAAUAUAUAUGUGUAAUACUCUUUGAUUUCUUCGAUGAUCAUCUUCAUCGGUUCUUGGCAAUUUCUUUUCGAUUUUGCAUCAUUACUUUCCGACUCCUUUGAUUUCAUCCAUUUUUAUUUUUAUUUUUAUUUCGUAUGAAGUUUAGCUUAUUUUCACGAUUUAAUCUCUAAAUCGAUGUCUUUUAGAAUUCUAUAGAAUUUUAUGUAAUCUCUUAUUUUCAUCUUCCAAAAAUAUGAUAUACAUACCGUCAAACAUUUCAAUACCGUAUGUCUAUUCUUCGUAUUCUAUCAUUUUCUGAACUACAACACAAACAUGUCACUCUAAUAUAAAUGUUAGGAUUUAUAUCCUAAAUUUGAUCUUUAAAAGACACACAUGAUUUAUAGUGAUUUAUCAAAAUACGAGAGUUACAUCAAAAAAAAAUUUGCAUCGAAUUUUAAUAUAAAAAAUCGGUUCGGUAAUGAUAACUCUUGCUCUACAACUCAACUAACAACGACAAAGCAUAAAUAAGGAAACAAACCUAAAAUAUCUUUAAUGAAUACUUUGAUUUUUUUUUUUUAAAGCUAUAUAUAAGAUUCCACAAAGGCCAAAAAUCAAACAUAAAAAAUGGUAUAACAUUUUAUAGGAUUUCUUGUAGACAAAAUAUAUUAAGAUAAAUUUGUUAAUAGGUUUCAAUGAAAUUCCAUGAAAAUAUAUAAUAGGGAAAAGUAAUUCUAUAGAAAACAUAUUUAAUUCUAGUACAUAAAUAAUUAAGUAUAGAAUAGAAUUCCAUAUUUUAUGAAUAACACACAAUUUUAUCAGAAAUAAUAAUAUGAUACUCUAUUUUUAUACAUUGUAAAACUCCUUUCAUUAAUAUGAUAUUUACAGUUUGGCAAAAAAAAAAAAAGCUUGUUUAACUCAGUGACAAACCUUUAGGGCCAAAUCUAUUAUAUUUUAGUGAUAAGAGUACAAGUGUAAAUCCAUACUUUAUUUAUAUUUAUUUCUUAUCUUUGGUUUCAUAUUAUUAGUUCGACUAAUUUUAAGUAAUCAUGGUGCUAGUGGAUGUUAAAAUUAUUAUUUUUGUUUCCCUUUUUGUUUAGUUUUCUAUUGAUAUAUUUUAAUAUGUAAUAAAGCUUUUAUCGAAAUUAACAGUUACGGUCAUAUAUAUUUUAUCAAAUUUUUAAAAAAGAGUACAAGAACUGAGACUAUGAAAUCAAAGGAUUAAUACAACAAUUUAUUUAUAUUAAUUAUAUGCUGGAGAUGCAUGCAUGUUAAUAGGUGAUAUAAUAUUUAUUGUACAUUUUAUAUGCAUUAAGCUAAAUGUUCAUAUCUCCCACCACGUUAGUGUUGUUGCUUCUCGAAGACUUAAUGUUCCAACGAGACCAAAAGAGAUAGCUAAGAAAGUUCAAGAGACUAAGAACCGCUAAAAGCCAAUAAAACAGAUCGAGCCUGUCCUUAUUCAGAUCGUUCUCUCCGAGCCACCCUUUAGAGUCGACCGACGUCGAAGUGAUCUUGUUUACGACCGAAACGAGCACCGAGCUGAAGUAAAACCCAAAGGAGUAGGAACAAUAUGUCAAUGCCAUCAAGAAUGAUUCCAUGCCCUUUGCAGAUUGCUUGUAAAAGAACUCGAUUAAUCCAACAGCUGUAAACAUCUCGGAGACCCCAAAGAUCAAGAACUGUGGCGUGAUCCAGAAGAUACUCAAGAUUCUACCGUCAAGAACUGAAGAGUCUCUACGUUUCUUCUCGAGCAUGGCAGCUGAAACCAUGGAGAAAGUGGAGAGGAAGAGUCCGAUUCCUAUCCGAGUCAAUGGAGGAAUACCUGAGUUAUGUCCUGUGAGCUUACGUGCAAAAGGGACUAAGAAAGAGUCGUAGAGAGGGACGAGGAAUAUGAGCAUCAUGUAAGGGAUGGCCUGGAGUGAAGCCGGAGGAAUGUGGAAAGAAUUUGAGAGACGAUUGUUCAUGGAACUUCCUUGUUGGACCGAAAACGUUUGGAGCUGAGCCAAGAUUGUGUUGAAGACGAUGGUGCUUGCGAAGAUUGGGACAAGUGAGAUUAGGGUUUUUACUUGCUCUACUUGUGUUACUGUGCAUAGCCUCCAUGGACUCUCCUUGGUGUUUGUGUCUUGGAUUUUGAUGCAUGCCUUGUCCAAGAACCUGCCCAAACGUUCAAAUAUAAUCCUUAGAUAUGAUUAUAUUCUUCACGGAUUUCAUGAGAAUUUGUGAUUACAUGCGACAUUUGUUUUUAUAAAAACUAUAUUGUAACUUUAAAAAAAAUCUUAAUAUUUCCUUUAACUUACGCCUUUACGAUUUAGAAAUGAAUUUUGAUUAAACCUUUUAAAGUUUUGGUUUUAUUAAAAAAAAACAAAAAGGAGACAUUACACGUGAACGGAAAAACAACCAAUGUUUGGAAUCUUUCUUUAGAAGUUUUUGUUCGGUCUUCUAAGAAAAUAGAUAUAACUAUCUAUAAAUGAUCAAAUCAAGAACGACCAAAAAGUGAAACAUGAAUGAUAGAAAAAGUGAGAUAAUGAGUUCAAUGUAUGACUAAGACCUGAAACGAGGAGUGUAUGGUAAAGUGGAGGAGGGUACGACGUCGUUUGCGACAUGGUGGUCUCCAUGAAGCAUUCUUGGGUCAGAGGGAGACACAAGCUUUCUUUUUAAUAUGGCAGCCACAACAACCUGAAAUACAGAGACCAUUACGUAUUAUUAUUGUGUAUAUAUAGAUAUAUUAUUUUGUGAAUAUGUAUAUGUAUUAUAAUAUAUUAAUGACUAUCAUAGAAGUGGAUAUCAUUUUGUUUUUUCAAAGCGCACAAUUAUAAUGUUAAACAUCAGUUUCUCUUUUCAUAUGAGUCAUGGCCCAAACUGUUUAGCAUUGUCUUGUCCACACACGUGACCACGAUUCCUCACUUUGAAUAUCGUGUGUUAAUAUUAUUUCUCUAAAUAAAGCCAAGUGGGUCGAAUUUUCCUUUGCAUAUAUCGAUUUGUACACAUGUGAAAUUUUAUUUCUAUAAGAAGUAUAUCAAAUUUAUUUGCAUACAUAUAUAAGUAAAUUUCUCACAGUUUAAGUUUAGAAAACAAGGUAGAGGAAAAUAUGUGUUUUGAAAUAUAUAAAUAAUAUAUAUAUAAUGUUUAGAUGAUGAUCGGUUAGCUAGUAACUUAUAAAGUUAUCAUAAACCGUAAGUUUUGAACAAAGCAUAAUCGGGAUUUGUCAACGAUAUGGGGGUCAACAUUAGCGCAAAAUAUGUAAAGUGUUCUUACUUUUAUGACUAUAUAUAAAGUGUUGUAAUUCCUUUGCAAUAGUAUAAAAUCAUGCAUAAUCAACUUAUUUAAAUGUUUGGUUAUAAUUGUUAUCUGGUAGAGACAGAAGUCAACUCUAUAGUUUAUAUGUGUGGUUGGUCUUAAAUUGUCCAUAUAAAAUAUGCACGGGUCCAUUUAGAUAUGGACUUACGUAUACAUACACGCAUGCAGACAAAUUUGGAAAAAAUACGUCUCACCAGAUUUUCGUUUAUUUUAAUAUAUAUAUAUAUAUAUAUAUAUAUAUAUAUAUAUAUAUAUAUUGCUUUUUGACACAGAUCUAUCUUAGAAGUCAACUAUUAUGGUAGGUAAAAUAAAAACCCAAGAGAAUGAUUUUGUAAAGUAAAUAUUAAAGUAUGUAUAGUGUAGUAAACAUAGCUACGGAUUAUCUAUAAAUAAAGCCAUUAUCAAUAAGUCUUCUAUGUGUAAAACAUACUUUUUAAAAACAAUAUAUUCUAGGUUCAUCUUACUACCGAUGGAACUAUCAUAAAUAUCAUUAUUUUGAUAACGCGCGCUUUUAAGAAUUUAUGUGGCUUAUUUAAUUGAGGUAUUGAAUUCUAUGUUGAAUCAAUAUCUCUAUUUCUUAAAGUUUAAAUUUAAUGGAAUCUUCUGGAUGAAAAAAGUUCAAGUUAAUUAUAUCAUCACUAUGUUCUUUUGUUUUCUUUUUCUUUUUUUCUUUUUUUUUUCGUGUAAGAAUUGUUAAAAGACAACAUAAACUUACUUGGGCAAUGGGAGUGAAGAUGCUUCGACGUGGACGUUUGUUACGAAAAUACAUAGUACCGGAGACUAAGCUAAUGAGGCCCAUAGUCAUUGCUGCAGCAGAGACUCCGAACCCAACGUCCAUUCCCGAAUGAGUUUGAACCCAAACAAGGAGAGUUAGAGCGAUAAGCUCGCCCAUUGAGAAUGCGAAAUAGGCGGCAUUGAAGUAAGAUGAGAGUCUUUUAGAUUGUUUAGGAUGCGACUGAGAGAACUGGUCCGCACCGUGAGCUAUCAUGUUUGGUUUCACGCAGCCACUUCCUAACGCCACCAAGUAGAGUGCCAUGAAGAAGAUCAUUGCCUUGAAACCUUUGGCUUCUUCACAUGCUUGGUCUAUCAAUGGGUUACACUUUGGUGGCUUUAGUUGGGGUAAAUGUGCUUGUACUGAUAAUAGUAUGAAACCCUGGGAAUACACGUGGCAAUCCGAGUUAAAGGACAUAAAAACUUAUAGAAAGUUUCGGAAUGUGAAACAAUGAUCUAAAACAUUAAUUGGUGAUGUUUCAGUGGAGUGUUUGUAGCGAAGGUAUUUUUGUAAAUAGUUAAUUAAAUCAUAAUGAGAUCACACACAAAAGGCAUGUUGCCUGGACAUACUCCACGUAAAUUAAUUACGUGUAUGCAAAUUAUAUAUAAAAAACAGAUUUUGUUAGAAAUCUCAUAUCGAAAGUGUUUUAUAUAUAUUUUCGUUUUAAAUUGGAAGCCAAGAAACUUAGAGAAUUGUAUAUACAGAUAUGUCAAAAACUGGAAAGAGAUGAUGAACAUACAGAAAGCUCGACGAAGCCGAAGAUGAUGAUGGUCCAGAAGCUGCCUAAAAAGGCAUCCGAGAGGUAGCCGCCGAGGAGGGCGAAGAUAAAGAUGGUACCGACAAAGUUGGUAACAAUAUUGG